GAUGAACGCUGGCGGCGUGCCUAAUACAUGCAAGUCGAGCGAAGCGGGGACGGGUGAGUAACACGUGGAUAACCUCCUAUAAGACUGGGAUAACUUCGGGAAACCGGAGCUAAACCAGUUACUCAUAGAUGGAUCCGCGCGGCAUUAGCUAGUUGGUAAGGUAACGGCUUACCAAGGCAACGAUGCAUAGCCGACCUGCGAGGGUGAUCGGCCACACUGGAACAGAGACACGGUCCAUACUCCGACGAGAGGCAGCAGUAGGGAAUCUUCCGCAAUGGGCACAAGCCUGACGGAGAAACGCCGCGUGAGUGAUGAAGGUCUUCGGAUCGUAAAACUCUGUUAUUAGGGAAGCGGUACCUAAUCAGAAAGCCACGGCUAACUACGUGCCAGCAGCCGCGGUAAUAC
rnacentral:rRNA from 1 species